GUUAGCAAAUCUAAGAAUUCCUGAGAGACGCACUGUUGAGUUACCCUGAAGUACAGAUGACUGAUGGCUAAGGAUGCCGUCAGAGACUGAUAGGAAAAGCCCCACGCAUUUUGCAGCGAGGCCUGGGGGUGUGGCUGGGAGAGGGAGUGAGGAACCAGGCAUAAGGAAACAGUAUCAGAAGAGAGAACCUAGCCACCUAAUGUAGAGCGGCAGCGUGUGACUUUGCCUUUCUAUGUCCUUAAAGUCAAUUAUUUAAUCAUACAGUUUGGAAUGAUUAUCUCUAUAUGAAUUAUGACAUUUCUUCACUCACAUAUUCAUACACUCGCAAGUUCUACUAAACCUUCUAUAUCCACAGGAGUAUGGUAGAUCAUCCAGAAGAUACUGCAAUGAGUAAAAGAAUUUCUGCUUCAAUGAUCCUGUUGCCUAAAACCAGGCAGAACAGAGAAAUUAGACAAAUAAGUGUAAUGCAGGCUACUAAGCGAGAGGAGUAUCCCUGGCCUUAUGGAUUUCAGAGGAGGGAGCUUUCAAGCUACGCCGUGAAGUGGGAACUGGUUUGGGUACUUGAAGACAGAGAGGGGGCAUUCUAGGAAGAGGAACGGGGGGCCUCAGAGUUGUGAAGGUGUCCUGGCUUCCAGACUUGGAUCCAAUGGUACAGUAGCUCUGUUCUCAGUGAGUCUACUCAAGAGGUUUGAGAAAACUUGCCACCCUGCCUCUUUCUCCUCUUUUCCUUCUCCAGGAGGAGCCUGGAUGGACUGAGGGCAGCUCGCUAGGCCAGGGGCACAAGAGACCAAGACUGCCGCCCCUGCUCUCCUCGCUCUUGGGAGGGGUACCUUCAGUACAGGUGUUUUCACUUCAGAGACUCACUGGCCACAAUACACUCAGCACUUGGAAGGUAACAAAUUUGCUAUGUCACAAUUGAUAAUCAACUCUAGUAAAAGAAUGUCCAAAUCAAUUGAGCUUUAGCAAGGGCAAACUGGCUGGACGCAGGCAGGCUCCCAGCUCGAGCUGGCUGGGCUUGAUAAAUUUGCCCUUAUUAUGGCUAUUGAUGUUUAAAUUUCUUCAGGGAUGUUGUUACAUGGGUGCCUGGUGGUGACAGAGGUACGGUGACCUCCUUCGAUCCUUAAUCUACACCUGUUAGUUGGCUCCCUGGUUGCCUCUGAGUAGACUCAGGCUUAAAGGUUAACAAAAGAAAAACAGGCCAAGUUUACGCGACUGCAGCAGCGGAUCAAUGCAAGUAAAUAACCUUCUCUGUCUUAUUUCCCCAAGCAUUAUUGAUCCAAGUUCUUUGUUCUUUGUCAUGUUUCUGUCUUCUUUUCCCAGGGGACACUCAACGAUCAGCUCGUAUUGGACAUGUUAACUGGCACGUUAUGACAGCUACCAUUUUGUCUCACAAUGUGGUGAGAAAUCAGGAGAAUUCUAUGACCUUCUAUCACAUUAACGAGGUCAUUUAUUUGUUUUAAGUACUUAUCCAAAUGGACAAUGGCAGCUGAAAGAAAUGACAAAGCUUCUGAGGCUUGGGGCAUAUUCCAGGGCAAUUUCUAAAGGCUGUUGUCAUUUGUGUUAGUUUUCUCGGGGACACUGCAUGAUGUCAGAGUGUUUGCUCUGGUCACUCUGAACUCCUUCGUCUCUGCAGAUGGGUUCUGAAGUCCCAGUGAAAUCUGUAUGCAAAUUGACAAGUUCUAAUUUUGAACAUGUCUAGCUUUUUCACAAAUUCAUUGUAUUCUGUCCAUAUGCAUAGGAUGCAUUCAUGUUAACUACAAAAUUGAACUCUGCACAAUUCUAAAAUAAAAUAAUGGUCUGCAAAGGCAAGGAAGCUUGUUUUGCUAAAUCUCAUUAUAGUUUAAGGCAGAUUUUGUCUAGAAAGAAAGAAAGGAGUAACUUCGUCUUUGAGUUAAUAAAGCUCAGGGGAUAAUAAAAUCAUGACAUCAAAUUGAUGUGUGGAUCUUCUUAAUUGGGAUAUGGUUCAAUUCUGAAAAAAAAAAUAAACUUCUUGACACAAAUCUAGGAUAAUAUGAGGUAUUUUUAUGCCUGAUGUUCUUGGAGGAAAACUACUACUUUUAUGUGAAAAACUAAU